UACGUAGGGUGCGAGCGUUAAUCGGAAUUACUGGGCGUAAAGCGUGCGCAGGCGGUUUUGUAAGCCAGAUGUGAAAGCCCCGGGCUUAACCUGGGAAUGGCAUUUGGGACUGCAAGGCUUGAGUGUGGCAGAGGAGACUGGAAUUCCUGGUGUAGCAGUGAAAUGCGUAGAUAUCAGGAGGAAUACCGAUGGCGAAGGCAGGUCUCUGGGCAUGUCCUGACGCUGAGGAGCGAAAGUGUGGGGAGCGAACAGG
rnacentral:rRNA from 1 species